GACGAACGCUGGCGGCGUGCCUAAUACAUGCAAGUCGAGCGGACAGACGGGAGCUUGCUCCCUGAUGUUAGCGGCGGACGGGUGAGUAACACGUGGGUAACCUGCCUGUAAGACUGGGAUAACUCCUGGAAACCGGGGCUAAUACCGGAUGGUUGUCUGAACCGCAUGGUUCAGACAUAAAAGGUGGCUUCGGCUACCACUUACAGAUGGACCCGCGGCGCAUUAGCUAGUUGGUGAGGUAACGGCUCACCAAGGCAACGAUGCGUAGCCGACCUGAGAGGGUGAUCGGCCACACUGGGACUGAGACACGGCCCAGACUCCUACGGGAGGCAGCAGUAGGGAAUCUUCCGCAAUGGACGAAAGUCUGACGGAGCAACGCCGCGUGAGUGAUGAAGGUUUUCGGAUCGUAAAGCUCUGUUGUUAGGGAAGAACAAGUGCCGUUCAAAUAGGGCGGCACCUUGACGGUACCUAACCAGAAAGCCACGGCUAACUACGUG
rnacentral:rRNA from 1 species